CCUCCGUCUGCCGUGGAUAUUCAUGCCCAAUGUUUGACUGUCCGUCUUAAAAAAUUAUAAAAAAAUUAAAAAUAUUUAGUCACACGUAAAAUACUAUUCAUGUUUUAUCAUUUAAUAGCAAUAAAAAUACUAAUCAUAAAAAUUUUUAAAUAAGACGAACAGUUAAACAUUGAACGUGAAUAGUGUAAAACUGCACUUAUU
rfam:Oryza glumipatula chromosome 1, whole genome shotgun sequence.